GGGGCAUUAGCGCAGCUGGUAGCGCACAACACUGGCAGUGUUGGGGUCAGCGGUUCGAGUCCGCUAUGCUCCA
rnacentral:tRNA from 1 species